UGGGGAAUAUUGCACAAUGGGGGGAACCCUGAUGCAGCCAUGCCGCGUGUGUGAAGAGGGCCUUCGGGUUGUAAAGCACUUUCAGCGAGGAGGAAAGGGUGAGUCUUAAUACGGCUCAUCUGUGACGUUACUCGCAGAAGAAGCACCGGCUAACUCCGUGCCAGCAGCCGCGGUAAUACGGAGGGUGCGAGCGUUAAUCGGAAUUACUGGGCGUAAAGCGUGCGCAGGCGGUGAUUUAAGCCAGAUGUGAAAGCCCCGGGCUCAACCUGGGAAUUGCAUUUGGAACUGGGUCACUAGAGUCUUGUAGAGGGGGGUAGAAUUUCAGGUGUAGCGGUGAAAUGCGUAGAGAUCUGAAGGAAUACCAGUGGCGAAGGCGGCCCCCUGGACAAAGACUGACGCUCAUGCACGAAAGCGUGGGGAGCAAACAGGAUUAGAUACCCGUGUAGUCC
rnacentral:rRNA from 1 species